CCAAGGAGUCUAACAUGUGUGCGAGUCAUUGGGACUUGAAUAUGCCCAAAGGCACAAUGAGAGUGAAGGCUGGGCCAAUCGGCCAGCUAGGUUGGGAUCCCCCGUCCUCGCGGCGGGGGCGCACCAACUUCCCGUCCCGUCCGCUUUGUCGGUGGGGCGGAGAAGGAGCAGACAUGUUGGGACCCGAAAGAUGGUGAACUAUGCCUGGGCAGGACGAAGCCAGAGGAAACUCUGGUGGAGGUCCGCAGCGAUUCUGACGUGCAAAUCGAUCGUCAGACCUUGGUAUAGGGGCGAAAGACUAAUCGAACCAUCUAGUAGCUGGUUCCCUCCGAAGUUUCCCUCAGGAUAGCUGGCGCUCGGGAUACUUCAGUCUCAUCCGGUAAAGCGAAUGAUUAGAGGCCUUGGGGCCGAAACGACCUCAACCUAUUCUCAAACUUUAAAUGGGUGAGAAGUCCGGCUUCCUUGAUCGAAGCGCGGACAUCUGGAUGUGAGUGCCCAGUGGGCCACUUUUGGUAAGCAG
rnacentral:rRNA from 1 species